rnacentral:rRNA from 1 species
UUCUGAUUGAUAACAUUUGAGUGAGUGGCGGACGGGUGAGUAACACGUGGGUAACCUGCCCUAAAGUGGGGGAUAACAUUUGGAAACAGAUGCUAAUACCGCAUAAAACCUAGCACCGCAUGGUGCAAGGUUGAAAGAUGGUUUCGGCUAUCACUUUAGGAUGGACCCGCGGUGCAUUAGUUAGUUGGUGAGGUAAAGGCUCACCAAGACCGUGAUGCAUAGCCGACCUGAGAGGGUAAUCGGCCACACUGGGACUGAGACACGGCCCAGACUCCUACGGGAGGCAGCAGUAGGGAAUCUUCCACAAUGGACGAAAGUCUGAUGGAGCAACGCCGCGUGAGUGAAGAAGGUUUUCGGAUCGUAAAACUCUGUUGUUGGAGAAGAACGUAUUUGAUAGUAACUGAUCAGGUAGUGACGGUAUCCAACCAGAAAGCCACGGCUAACUACGUGCCAGCAGCCGCGGUAAUACGUAGGUGGCAAGCGUUGUCCGGAUUUAUUGGGCGUAAAGCGAGCGCAGGCGGUUUCUUAAGUCUGAUGUGAAAGCCUUCGGCUCAACCGAAGAAGUGCAUCGGAAACUGGGAAACUUGAGUGCAGAAGAGGACAGUGGAACUCCAUGUGUAGCGGUGAAAUGCGUAGAUAUAUGGAAGAACACCAGUGGCGAAGGCGGCUGUCUGGUCUGUAACUGACGCUGAGGCUCGAAAGCAUGGGUAGCAAACAGGAUUAGAUACCCUGGUAGUCCAUGCCGUAAACGAUGAGUGCUAGGUGUUGGAGGGUUUCCGCCCUUCAGUGCCGCAGCUAACGCAUUAAGCACUCCGCCUGGGGAGUACGACCGCAAGGUUGAAACUCAAAGGAAUUGACGGGGGCCCGCACAAGCGGUGGAGCAUGUGGUUUAAUUCGAAGCAACGCGAAGAACCUUACCAGGUCUUGACAUCCUUUGACCACUCUAGAGAUAGAGCUUUCCCUUCGGGGACAAAGUGACAGGUGGUGCAUGGUUGUCGUCAGCUCGUGUCGUGAGAUGUUGGGGUUAAGUCCCGCAACGAGCGCCACCCUUAUUACUAGUUGCCAG